rnacentral:rRNA from 1 species
AACGCGAAGAACCUUACCUGGGCUUGAACCGCUACUGACCAACGGUAGAAAUAUCGUCUUCCCGCAAGGGACAGUAGUAGAGGUGCUGCAUGGCUGUCGUCAGCUCGUGCCGUGAGGUGUUGGGUUAAGUCCCGCAACGAGCGCAACCCUUAUUCGUAGUUGCCACCCGCAAGGGGGAACUCUACGAGGACUGCUCCGGAUAACGGAGAGGAAGGUGGGGAUGACGUCAAGUCAGCACGGCCUUUAUGUCCAGGGCUACACACGUGUUACAAUGCACGGUACAGACUGUUGCGAACCCGCGAGGGGGAGCUAAUCGGAUAAAACCGUGCUCAGUUCGGAUUGCAGUCUGCAACUCGACUGCAUGAAGCUGGAAUCGCUAGUAAUGGCGUAUCAGAUCGACGCCGUGAAUACGUUCCCGGGCCUUGUA